rnacentral:piRNA from 1 species
AGUAAACGGGUCUUGUAGCUCCCU